rnacentral:rRNA from 1 species
UACGUAGGGUGCAAGCGUUAAUCGGAAUUACUGGGCGUAAAGCGUGCGCAGGCGGUUUUGUAAGUCUGUCGUGAAAUCCCCGGGCUCAACCUGGGAAUGGCGAUGGAGACUGCAAGGCUAGAGUUUGGCAGAGGGGGGUAGAAUUCCACGUGUAGCAGUGAAAUGCGUAGAUAUGUGGAGGAACACCGAUGGCGAAGGCAGCCCCCUGGGCCAAUACUGACGCUCAUGCACGAAAGCGUGGGGAGCAAACAGG